CCUAAUGUGAGGUUUGCUGACUAAGAGCUCUGUGAUAUUAGAAGUUGUGUACAUAUCGAUACACUGAUGGCAAUAACAAUGAGGUCUCUGCAAAUCAUCUUGGUUUUGGUUGUUCCUUGUCUCGGCAACUUUGUUGCAAGUGCAGAUGAGAUCAGAUAUAAAGGCGACAAUUACACCAUCAAGUGUUCUGCGCCUCAGGAAGAUGCACUGGGUGUGUAUCUGAACAGCAGACGUGUGAUCAGCCGUGAAGUCCUCCACUACUCUUUUGAAACCAAGCAAAUAACUUCCCAUCAAGACUAUGAAGGACGUGUUAUAGUCAAAUAUGACCACAAUACUGUGACUAUAGACAUCAUUAACCUACAGCUAACAGACACUGGGGCUUACUGGUGCUCCUGCAAGGUUAUGUCUAGUAAAAUAUGUGCAAUUGACGAAUCAGGUGUUUUUCUUUUGGUGCGCGAGUCAUCGAUCAAUUCGGCCCCUUCCACAAGUGCCAAUCCAAACUUGGAUGGCGUGAAUGAAUUACUGAUACCUGUGACAGCAUUGACAGCUGGCAGCGUGCUCUUACCAUUACUCCUUGUGUUUCCAAGUAUUUUGGUUUACCUCCAGCAAUAUGUUUACUCACUUAAUGUAACGAUGGCGUUUAGAGGAUCCACUUGCAGAAACACAGAACAGGCAUUUACAAGAGGAAAACAAAGACUGACACUAAACAAGGCAAACACACAAGGGUAACCAAGGGAACAAACAAGAGCAACAAUGCUACAGAACUAAACACAGGAAGUAAACACAGAAAUACUGGGGGCAGAGAAACACUUCAACAUAAAAGUCCUUGAAACAGACAGAGAUCACAACACAGACCUCCGGUUUCACAGACAGAGUCCUAGAUUAAAAUGUGAAGAAACUGUGUAGAAGAAGAGAUGAGGAGAAGGUGGAAAAAGAGGAGAAAAGGUGUAAUGAGGAGUAUACAAGGUCAUGAAUGCUCAACAGUAAUGUGUGUUUUUUAUACUGUUUUACAUGUUGUUUUGAUUCAUUCAGUCAUACCACUGAUAAAAUAACUUAACUAGGAUUUACUUAAAAAAAACACACACAGAGACAUUUUAAGUACAUUUUAUUGCUACUGCUCUACUCGGAAUGCAUAUUUGCCCAUGCAACAUUUGCCCAUAGGAAAGAGAAAAUGCCUAUAGAAAUAGACUCUUUCCUAUUCAUUCACAGACAAACCUUUCUUUGACCUUCCUAUCACACAUUAUGUACAGUCGUUAUGUACAGUAUUACUGCAUUGUAUUAUAAUUUUUGUCUGUUGUAUUUGUAUUUGUCUUUCUACUGUUUUAUGCAUGCGUUAUGAUAGAUGACUAGUCAUAUAACCCACCUAUGCCAUGUUUGGUCUCUUUGAAUUCGUAUUUUGAUGAUCUAAAAGAUGGUGUAUAUUAUAUGUUGAUACCUAUGCAACAUAUUAGUGUUUUAAAAAACCUUAGUAGUUUUUGCAUCAACACCCAAUCGAAUUACAUAUGCAAAAUACCAUGCUCACAGACAAAGGUGUUGUGUUGCUGGAUGUAAUAGUGAACAUAGUGGUCGUCAUUUACUCCUGACAUCUGAGCCCUGAAGAUGCAGUAGAUUACGUUUGUUUGUGAAGGGAAUGUGCCUCCUGAUCUACAUAUAUCCGUCUAUGUUCGCACGAAUCAUUCAUGAUCCAGCUUCACUUACAGCAAAAGUGAGUAUAAGGGUUUUUUUUAUGAAUCUUUGCGAUCGCCUUUCCUUAUAACGUGGUAGUUAGGAAGUUUAGCGCUAAAUGCGGCUAAACGUGGCUACAUGCGGCUAAUGUAAACAAGCUCGUCAUUCCACAGAGAGAAGAGAGGGGCGGGGUGAGCAGAGCUCAUUUGCAUUCAAAGGUACAACCCCUUAGAAUGCGAUGAUUUUUACUCAGCUCAUUUUGACAAGGUAAAAAGGGUGUUGUUUUACAAAACCAUUGAGACUUUUUAAUCAAAGUAUAUUAGAGACUUUGCAUUAAAACCCUAAAGAGUCAUAUCAACUUGUGGAAAAUGGACAUCCGAUGACCCCUUUAAGACUUUCACCCGAGACUGCAUUUGGACACUUGUUCAACGACCAAGACAAUGCAAGUAUCGUACAUUUAACUAAACAAAACAGAGGUUUAGUAUAAGUUGUAGACAGCACUGAUGGUUUCACUCAGGUGGUUAACUGACUCUUUUCAUAGCUUCAUUCUCUUGUCUCUCUCUCUCUAAUGGCCUUUCACUGACCCUUCCCCCAUGUAUGAGUGAUUUCAUGUUUGUUUGUUUAGAUUAGUUAUGUGUUAGUACUUCGUUAAUAAAACCAUUGUGCACAAAUUACAUGAGUUUUAUUCUGAUUGUGCCUUGCAAGAUUAAUGUCCCUUUACGAUUCCGAUUCGAGCUACAUGCUCUAAAGCAAUGGUACUUUAAGAAAGUCAUUUUCUGUGGCCAAGAAAAUAUCAUUUCUUAGAGUUGAUAUAAAAAUUAUACUGAAUGUUCGCUGGAUGAACAGAUUAGUUGAUGGAAAAUUAAUUCUGCUACAGUUAGUACAGGCAGCUGAUAUAAACAAUUGUAAUUAAUCAUAAUUAAUUGUAAUUAUUUCUAUACAUUUCCCUUUUGAGCUAAAUCGCGACCAACUGUCAAACGUAUGUGUUUGUCACAUAAAUUUUAUUAACAUCUUACACAUGCAGCUUCUGAUAAAGUCAAAUAGACUAUAGCUUGAAUGUGCCCUACCACAAACAGUAGAAACUUAUUCAAUGAUAUAACACAUCUUUAUAUCGUACGAUAAGAAACUAACCUGAUAUUAGCAAAAAAAUCCUAAUUUCUGUUGUUAGUAGAGCGUAAGCCUUCUCUGACGAAGAAAUCUCAGAUUAGCAGCCCGUAUAAAUGGUACCAGAAUGAAUUCAUCUAAAUUGAGGCGAAGAAAUCCCCACUUUUAGCUUUAAAUGCAUAAGUCUCAGAUUAAAUUUCAGAUUAGCGGCAUUAAAUAAUCUGCAUGGCGAAGAAGUCCCACUUGCAUUGAUAUUAAAACUGGGUGACAAAGAAAUCUUGCUACAGUAUAGUUAUUCUAAUGGUGAUUUGAGUGAUGGUCCUCAUUUCUCCGAAUUAAGGCCUUCUUGUAACUAUUGCAUAUCAUUGUAAUCAUGAAGAUUAUGCAAAUGAAUAGUGAAUUAAUAGUGUACUUCUAUUUUAGCUAACUAGGAAUGUGUCAUUGUCUGUGAAGUGAAUGUGCUGUUUUGAUUUGUGGAAGUUGUAUGUGAAAAGUCAUAACUGACUGCGUGUAAGUUUCCCAUGCAUGUUUCACAGUAGCGCAAGUUCUGCUCAGCUUGUUCGUUGUUGUCAACAUCGGUCUCUUAGCAACGUCUGACCCCAGAAGUUGAAAGCAGCCUCUUCCGGUUCAAUCUGAUAACAGCAUACACAUCACACACCCUUGUGUAAACUGAGUAGAACUGAGUGUAGCCAAAGCUAACUCUUUAGCGGCCGUACAUGCAUAUAAGCUAAGCCCUUUACGUCAGCUGUUAGCUGUUAGCAUCCGACUAACAUUUAGAUACGUGUGAGUGUAAAGUGUAAUGUU